rnacentral:rRNA from 1 species
AGUGAACGCUGGCGGUAGGCCUAACACAUGCAAGUCGAACGGCAGCACAGUAAGAGCUUGCUCUUACGGGUGGCGAGUGGCGGACGGGUGAGGAAUACAUCGGAAUCUACUUUUUCGUGGGGGAUAACGUAGGGAAACUUACGCUAAUACCGCAUACGACCUACGGGUGAAAGCAGGGGAUCUUCGGACCUUGCGCGAUUGAAUGAGCCGAUGUCGGAUUAGCUAGUUGGCGGGGUAAAGGCCCACCAAGGCGACGAUCCGUAGCUGGUCUGAGAGGAUGAUCAGACACACUGGAACUGGGACACGGUCCAGACUCCUACGGGAGGCAGGAGUGGGGAAUAUUGGACAAUGGGCGCAAGCCUGAUCCAGCCAUACCGCGUGGGUGAAGAAGGCCUUCGGGUUGUAAAGCCCUUUUGUUGGGAAAGAAAAGCAGCAGGUUAAUACCCCGCUGUUCUGACGGUACCCAAAGAAUAAGCACCGGCUAACUUCGUG